GGUGUCGAGGUGCAAUGGACAGCACUGGAAACUCUGAAUCUCCCAAUCAGGGUUCGAUUCCCUGCGCGACCU
rfam:Gregarina niphandrodes unplaced genomic scaffold scaffold00259, whole genome shotgun sequence.